rnacentral:lncRNA from 1 species
GAAGCUUUUAUGACACUGGAGGUCUUGAAAUGCUCACUGCCAAGGGAAACAAGACUGGUCAAGCAGAGGAAGAAAGGUUGCAGAAGGUGUAUUCCAUGGACGAAAUAUGGAAAGAUAUUGAGUUUUCUGACAGUGAUGCAAUUCAACCUGUGUAUGACGGUUACGGCGAAGGAGGCUGCAACUUCUCCAGUCAAACAAUGGCUUCUCCUGUGUGGGAUUAUUGCCCUGUCUCGCUGUGGAUGAUGGAUGAAGACGAGAGUAAGAUGUUUCCUCCCAUAAGCGAUCAAUUUUAUUCUUUUUACAACCAAGAGAGCACGAUUUUAACUGGCUAGCUAGAUGUUGAUUUAUUCCCUAGGUAUUUGUUGAUACAAUUUUAGCUGCUAUAUGGAAGCCUAACCUGUAUUUGUAUAGCAUGGGGUUGUCUGUCCAAACUACUUGAUGUGGUUCUCCUCAUUGAUCUCCCAGUCAAUGUAAACAUCUGAUGGGAACCAUAGUCAUGGGUCAGUGUCUGCUGUUCUGUGUUUUUUACUAUGUACCACUGGGAAGAGUUCAUAAGAAGCUCUUCAGGGGACUCAGAUUUCAGCAUAUUGCCUAAUGUAAGAUAGGGGUGCUUAAAUUUUGUUACUCUAUGAAUGUAAAAUAUAAGUUUCCUUUUAAAGUAGUUGAUGUUAAAUGAACAACACAAACAGCAACUCCACUCUGAGAACCCCUCUCCCCAACACCCUUCCGUCCAAUACCCCCAAUGAAAGGAACUUAAAGGCAAUCCUUUCAUCGCCUCCUUGUUCCGUCCUCCCGAAUCUUCUUUUGUCUUUUUAACUUGGUAGGGGCAACAGAAUUUCGUGAUUUAGAACAUUUACGAAAUAUGCACAAAUAUUGAUGUCAAAACUAAUUUUCCUUACCAGUCUCUAGCAGUCACAAGGUUUUCAUGUCCAAAUAGAAACAACCCAAGGGCUAAAUACAUGUCAAACUAGAUUAUCAUUUUAGUAUCAGAGGUCAAAUACAUGAUUACAUGCAAUUUAUCAUGAUUCUAAGACAAAUUUUUGGUUUCGAUUUCAUCUGUUUUAGGUACACCAAUACUAUUUCAAAGAAAGCCUAGUUUAGUUAGCAUACAUACAAGAGAAAAACAGGAUCUCUUUAACUCCUGUCCAGGCAAUAAAAUUCGAGCAUGAGGUAGUUUCAAUUCAUCUGCUUUAUUUGCCUUUUCCCUUAUUACCAUUAGAUCACAGUAACUUCUAUCUAGCAUUUAUACUUGUCUCUUCUGUGUGUGGUUCUGCAAGUUGUACAUCAAGCAGAAAAUAAGUAGUGUAUAAAAAUUAUUCAUAGACAAACCAGAAUGUUUUCUGCAGCAAUCUUAUUUACUCGUGCUUCCGCCACAAAAAUGUCUUGAGGAACAAUCUACACUGUCCAAAGUAUAUUCUCAGCUAGGACUAUAAUAUAUCCUGCAAUCUAGUAUGGAGUACUACACAUGAGAAUUCUAAUCCAAAAUGAAUACGUUGCUGCAACCAUUAUCACAUAAUACACAUCAGAUUUUGAGUUAAAAAUUCAAAUGCAGCUUUAUAAGUGAUAAGCAUAAAGAUGGGGUGGGUCCCUCAGGCACAAUAAAUUAACUUCUGGACGGUACGGGGGGGAUGGCAAAAAGAAAGUGAUAGACUUGUGGUAGUUUCGUUAUUGGGACAGGGAUGAUGAAAAGAAACACAAUGGAGGACAAUAGAAUAUGAGCUAAGGGGCCCUAUGGCUGAUAUAUGCUUUUAUUUGUCUGUGGCUACUAUGCGCUUGUUUAGUAUGUAGACAGAAUCAUCACUUGAACCAGGCACACAUUAUUGAUUUACCACUUGGUCAAAAUUUCAAGCUUUUCGAUCUUGAUAAGCAGAAAGGAGACAGACAAGAAACUAACGAUUUUGAAAAAUCAAGAAUAUCCUUUAUAAAUAGAAGGAAUCCUAACUCGUUAUCUCGCCAUCAUUCUUACACUGCAGAGAUAUUUGGGGAAUGGAGCAAAUCAUUGCUGAUGAAUUCAGCACCCAAGCCAGGCAGAAGCGAGAUAAAAGAAAAAAUAAAUCCAGUGGUUAUACCAAAGAAGAAAGCCUGGAAUAUUAGCCUAUUUCUAAUGUGUAAAUGAAACACUUUGUAUGUCUCCUUUGAAUUUACUUCACUAAGCCAGUCAAGAUUUGUGACUUUUGGCUAUGCAUUAACGAGGAUGAAGAUCGAAAGCAAUGUCUUAUUCCAUCUGUCCAGGAUUGACUAAACCAAUCGAAAAAAAAAAAAACCGAUCAAGCUUUUCUUAUACUAAUAAUUCUAGCCGUAAUCAGAUUCCGCUUUGCCUGAAAUUCUAUUCUCUUUUAGAAUUUAUCAUACAUUUGUUUAAACACUAAAUAUACCAAAGAAUUCUACUUACUGCAUCAAGACAACGAUGCCAAGCAGUCAAAAUGCGUUUGAUCAGACCGAAAUCCAAUGAAACUGCUAAUUUCCCCAUCAAAAGGAAAAAAAAAAAAAAAAAGUACCAAGCACGGGUUAACAAUAAUAAACGAUGAAAAGUGAAAUUGAUAAGGCGCUGUUCAUAGCUCUGAUCAAUGUUCGAUUAAAAAUACGUAUUAUUAGGUAGAAAUCUCAAAUAUAUAAUAUAAUAGGAAGAAGCCAGUCAGAGCUCAGUCAAAUUUCCACAUUGAUGCAAUUGGUUUAUCAUUUGACUCAAAAUCCACAUUAAAUAAAAAAUGCAAAGGCAACAUCUCAAAUAUAGAAAAUUAUCUGAAACACCAUGGCUACGUUCACAAUCUCCAUUGUCAUGCUCGCACGUUUCGAAUAUCAAUGGUCACGACCUAAUGCGGUUGACCUAAUUCAACUGGCUAAUUCAUUGGACGUUCGUGGUUCACAAAUUCAUUAGGAAAAAAAGGUUUGAAUUUAAAUAGAGCAAAAAAUUAUGGACAGGUAGAGUUAAGAAAUGGAAUAGAAAAUUGUGGUUGAUUAGGUAGCACUUACCAGGAAGAAAGGAUGAGCAAAUUUUGAUGAUUGAAAGUGGAAGAACCAAACUCCAGAACUGAAAGGGAUGUGUGGAUAGUGC